ACACCCACGAAGAAGAAGAACACCGCGAUAGCAACACUUCGCUCGUGUUCGUUCAGGCUUUAAUGUCAAGCUGUUGGCUUCCGGCUGGAAAUAUAUACUUUUAUUUUAGUUAACUGCCCUCUUUGACGUGAACGGAAACGUAGCCGACGGAGUGUUUUGAUGUUAACCUCUUAACUCCGUAGCUAGCUUAGCCCGCUAGCGUCCUGUGUGAGCGUUAGCCAUUAGCUAUUAGCUUUGUUCCGCCAAGGAAUCGGACUAUGCGGAACCGACCCCCCAUGGGACCAAUGGGCGACAACGGACCCCCAUUCGGCACGGGUCCUCCGGGAGGGUGGGGGCCCCCGCCACCGGGGGGCUGGGGUCUCCCACCCCCGGGGGCUUGGGGUCAUCUGCCACCGGAAGACUGGGGCCCACCGCCGCCCGGUGGAUGGCCUCUGCCGCCCGAGGAAUGGGGGCCCCCUCCUCCCGGAGGAUGGGGGCCUCCGCCCCCUGGGGGGUGGGGACCAAGAGAGCUUCCGCCCCCUGGAGGGUGGGGACCAAGAGAGCCUCCACCACGUUGCUGGGGACCAAGAGGACCAUCACCGCCCCCGGGCUGGGGGCUUCAUCCAGACGACUGGAGACCACCCCACCCGGAGGACAGGAGACCCCCACACCCCAACGACUGGAGACCCCCACACCCAGACGACUGGAGACCCCCACACCCAGACGACUGGAGACCCCCCCCAGGCUGGGGACCCCCUGGCUGGGGUCCGGAGCAUCCCCCUCAUUCGUGGAGGUCCGAGCCUGUUCCACCAGUACUACCGGUCCCUCCUCCAGACCCCUCCGCCUACGGGCCGCUGGCCAUGCCUCCCAUCCCCCCUCCAGCCUGCGGUCCACCUCUGGGGUACCUGAGCUACCCCCCUGCCAGCUGGACAGCAGAGACCAUUGUGGAGGAAGUGAUGCUCAACCCACCACCUGAUCAGCCUGAGUGGAUCAAAGCCUUGAUUUCGGCUCCGGUUGGAGAGUCGACGCCAGGGGAAACUAAGAAUCCCACCGAGGAUCCGGCUGUCUCCAAAACACCGACUGACCCACCUGCUGCUGCCCCUAAACCCAAACCCGAUCCCACUAAGACCAACAGGGCGCUGGGUCUACUGGGGAAACGCACCUUUGAUAAGCCUCCUCCCGGCAGGUCCACAGGGAUCAUCUCCUUCAUCGGGCCCACCUUCGGCUACAUCGAGAGAGAAGAUCUGGAGAAGUUCAGCUUCAGCUUCGCCGCCUUCUUUGGAAACCCAAAGGCCAUGACCCCCGGGGUCAGAGUUCACUUCACGGCCUGCAAGGAGAAGAACGGUCCGAUAGCCACGGAUGUGAAGGUGGCUCCUGGUGGGACCGAGAACGUGGACACGGAGAUCUACGAGGCGGUGGUCACCCAGCCCAUCACUGAGCCUCAGCCCGGCGAACGUCAGUACCCAGGCCAGGUCCAUGUGGACAUCGGGCCGCUGAGGACCAACCUGUCCUUUGACAGGAAGGACAGCACGGUGACGCUGCUGAAGAACGACCAGGUGCUCAUCAACCUGCUGACGGACAUUGUCAGCGAGAAGAGAAGAGCCACCAAUAUCAAACCCCAAAUCCCCUCCACCUUCAGCAACACCAAGGAGACCAGGGAGAAGGGCGUCAUCCUCAGCCUGAAGGACAGCGAAGGUGUCAUCAAGUGUGACGAACACGGCGAGCUUCCCUUCAGAAUCAGGGAGAACUUCAGCGACAUCGAGUUCACGGCUGAGGACGUCGGCGAGGAGGUCGAGUUCACCGCGCUGACUCUGAGGGGGGGGAAGCGGGCCAUCAGGAUCCAGAGGGUGACGGAGCCCCUCCUCCUGACCCUAUCUGCCGCCACAGCCGCCGCCGAAGAGGAGCAGGCCGCCGCCUGGCACUCCGUCGUAAAAAAAGAGUUGCAACUGAACGGGAAGGCCGGCGAGGUGGGCGCCAACAUGAAGCUGGACCCGGAGCUCUACGAGGGCAUCGUCAGCCAGCCCAUCAUCGAGCCCACGCCCAACAUGCAGGGAUACCCGGGUCAGAUCCACGCCAACAUCGGCCCCCUCAGGACCAACGUGACCUUCGACCACCGGGACUGUGGCGUCACGCUGCUGAAGAACGACCACGUGCUGAUCAACCUGCUGGUGGACGUCACUACAAAGAAGAGGAGAGCAGCCAACAUCAAACCCAAAAUCCCCUUCACCUUCAGCUACACCAAGGAGAAGAGAGAGCUGGGCAUUAUCACCUUUCUGGGUCCAGAAGAAGGAAUUGUCAACUCUGAAGAACACGGCGAGCUUCCCUUUGACAUCUGUGAGAACUUUGGCGAAGUCGAGUUCAACAGCGGUGACAUCCACAAGGAGGUGGAGUUCAUGGUUGCCGUGGUGAAAUCAAAAAAGAGGGCCAUCCGACUGUUGAGGACCAAAAGGGUGGAGGACCCAAUCCUAGAGGAGCAGAAGAGACGGGAGGAGGAGGAGAAGAGGAAGAAGAGGGAGGAGGAGGAGAGGAGGAAACAACAGGAGGUAGAGAGGAAGAAGAUGGAGGAGGAGGAGCGACGGAGCGAGGCGGAGAGGAAGAAGAGGGACGAGGUGUCUGCAGCGUUGGCAGCAGCCAAAUGCAAAUGGUCGCCGCUUGGCAUCCGAGUGAGAAACCCCGACACGCUGGACGACGUCAGCAAGGAGCGAUUCCAAGGCACAAUCCUCAAGGCUAUCUCCAAAUAUCCACGUAAGGAGAUCAAGAAGGAGCCCAAGGAGGAGGAGAACAAGGAGGAGCCCAAGGAGGAGGAGAACAAGGAGGAACAGAUGCUCCUUGCACAGGUGAACAUCAAAACGGAGAAGAAGGAUGAAGUCCAGAAGGAAGAGGCGCAAGGAGAGGAGGGAAAGAUGGAGAAGAAUAAGGAGGUGGUGACGGCGGAGAUGGGUCGGCUGGUGAUGACCAUCGAUGGUCAACAGAAGCUGCUUCCCUUUGGACCCAACGACCUGCUGAGCACCGCCACCAUGCUGGAUGGAGACAAGGUACGCUUCAACAUAGCCACCCAUGGAGAGAACAAAGAGGAGCGCGCCACCUUCGUGGAGAUUCUCCCCGACUCUUUCGAAGAGUCCAUCGAGCAACGUCGACACGGCAUAGUGAUCGAGUUCUCUCAUUCCUCCGGACUCAUCAAGUGUGUUCAGAACCCUCAGCUCUACUUCCACAUGUCGGAGGUGAUAGAGAAGAAGAGACUGGAGCUGAACGAGAAGGUGGAGUUCAGCGUUGUCCCGCAUGAAACGGCGGAAGGUGGAAACCAAGCCAUCCGGAUAAAACGCUUCACCGAGAGCGUGUUCCUCCCUGCUCGUAGGCUGGGAGGCGUGGGGGCAAAUAAGGGGAAGAUGACCAUCAAGUUGGCAAAAACUGAAGACACUGAAAAAGAAAAACCAGAGACGGACAAAAUGAAGGCUGUGGUCAAAAACCUUAGGACGCAGGACAGCAAGCCAAGCGGUGGAAGAAGGGAUUUUGGAGCCACUUGGCGCAAACCGGCCCGCAGCAGGAGCAGGAGUCCAAGUCGGAGUAAGGCCAGGAGUCGGAGUCCGAUUCGAAGUAAGGCCAGGAGUAGGAGCAGGAGUCCGUCCAGAGACCAGUUCGGACGGAUCAUCACAAAGAGAAGCAGCACCAGUGCCGACCGCAAAGGCAGCAGGUACCGGCGUAGCCGUAGCCACGAGAGGUCCAGCCGGCCCCCCAAGAGUCGCACCAAGAGCCACAGCAGGAGCCGAAGCCGGACCAGGAGUUCCAGCAGGAGUCGCAGCAGGAGCAGGGAGCGGGGCAUCAAGAAGAGCAGCAAAAUUGUUAGAGAACGCGACGAAAGCCACAAGAGAAGGCAGGAUCUGAGCACUCCUUCCAGCCGCGGUGUAGUCGUGGAUGACGAGCUAGCAAGGAAGAAGCGGGAGCUGGAGGAGCUGAACGACAUGAUUGCCUACAAGAAGUCUCUAGUGGACAUGGACCCUGGACAGAGGACUUGCAUAGACUACGACCACGGCCGGAUCGCCGUCCCUCUUACAGAGUACAAACCAGUCCGGUCCAUCCUGAAGAAACGGCCAGAAGGACCCGAUUACCUCCAUCUUCCCCCUCAGCCCUACGAGGAUCCUUACUAUGACCGGAUGUACAGUCCUUUCCCGGACCGGCGGUAUGCAGAGCGCCCUGCUGAUCCAUACGGCGGUCGGUCUUACACCGAGCGUCCUUAUGGCGAGCGACCCUACCCCGAUCGCCCUUAUGAAACCCUUCUCUACGGCGAACCUUCCUACGGCGGCCCUCCUUCUGCCAGCCAACGGUACGCCGAUCGCUAUGACGUUUAUGAUGAACCGUAUGAUGACCGCUACUGCGACGUGGCAUAUGCUGGGCGUCCUGAGGAUGAUUCGCAUCGCCCCGCGAAACAGAGCCAGUAUCCACAGACCCACGGUCCCUCUGCUUCUCAAUCCACCCUGGUUCCUUCUGCCUCAACUCCAUUGAUGAAUGCUGCACUUUCAUCUACCCAGCACUCUCUGAAACCUCCCUCUCCCAGAGAAUCACCUCCUAGAAGCCCCUCACCCACACUGAAGAACACUGCUCCUCACAAGGCGCCUCAAACCGCAAAACAGCCCCUUGACCGCUUUCUUGACAUGCUCAGCCAGAAGGUGGAUGCUGAAAAGAAAUCUGAACCGGUCCAUAUGAGUGAUGAGCUUCUGCCUCAUGAGAAGGCCCUUCAAGACGGCAGCGGUUUCUCUCGUAUUGUUGGAUUGGCUCAAGAGCAACCAGGCACCAGUCUAGCUCUCGAUGGGAAAAACCCACGGGUAAGCUCUCAAAGAUCCUCAGUAGAAAGAACCAGUGGGGAACCACAGCACAAGGGGGAACCGUACGACAAGAUCCAAAGUCUACUCCGUACAAUCGGUCUGAAGCUGAGUACGGGAGAUAUGUCAAAACUGGCGAGCCGAGCCCAAGGGAACGUCUACAGCCCAAAGUCCUCAUCCACGGAAAGAGAGACUUUGUCAUCCUCAAGGGAAGGUCGGCAAACAAGUAGAAAUGGUUCUGUUGAACUGGAUAAUACCUAUUCGCCCCUCCCUACGAGGUCCUCCAGCUUGGAGACACUCGGCAGGUCGAAAGCUGUCUUUGAGUACGAAGGAUUCCUGGACCAGCAAGAGCUGGAGGCUUUGCAGAAGGCACAACAUCAACAGAGUCUCACCAAAACAAUAGGGAGCGCACCCUCCACCACUCCACCGCCACCAAUUAACUGGCCUGUUGUAGUCACUUCCCAGAUUCCUCCACAGCAAAGCUCCCUAACCCCAAGCGUGGAUCAACCACCCCAGAGGUUUGGACAUCCUCCAGGGCCUCCCCCUGGACCUCCUCCUCAGCGUCCAGCACAGCCCCCUCCAGGACAACUCUCCAGUCCUAUGAUCUCUGCAGCUUCAUCACCACCGUCGAUACCUUCCAUGUCCAGCCCUUUGAGCGAGAACCAACCAACCAUCUCCACCACAGUGGCAAGAUGCCUCAAGGUCAUUGAGACGGUGAAGUCGUUGGCGGUUCAACCUCUCGCCAAACCGGUGAAAUCUGUGCAGUUCAGUUUACCAACAGUCCCUCCAUCAGCUUCCAGUCAUCAGACCUCCACAGAGGCCGAUGAUGAAGUUAAGAACAGGCAACAGGAGAAGCUGGAUUCGUACAACCAGAGGGUUUUAGAGAAGAGGGACCUGCACUACAAGGACUGGCUCAGCCGCAAGAAUCAGAGGGGCGAGUGGAAGGACGGCGUACGGAUCUUCCCAGGUAUCACAUCUCUUACCUUAUAUACUUUGAACUCGGCUAAUUCAACUACCUUUUGAAUUAAAGGGAAUUUGCGAGUUCAGCAAGUUAUGUGGCGAUGGUGGCGCAUGGAGUAGCGUGGUGCGCCAGAACCGCAAGGGUGGUGGUUCGACUCCCGGCUGCUCCAUGUGCCAUGUGGACGUGUCCCUGAGCAAGACACCAACCCAUAAUUGCUCCCACCGCAAAAUGUAAGCCAUGGGUCAAAAUGCAAUCUAAGUCGCUAUGGAUAAAAGCGUCAGUUUAAUGACAUGUGAUGUUCUCAGUGUGCCAGUUCUUUAGAGAUGUAAAAACGAUUUGAAGUAAUCAGCUGCAUGUUUUAUGUUGAGGGCUUUAAAUAUGCUAUUUGUCUACUUUGACCAUCUUUAAAUGCAUUUAUCUUCCCUAAAACAGUAAGCCAGUCUUUGGCUUGAAAACCAGAGUUAUGCCAAAAGUUAAGGGGUGACUUGGUGAAAGUUUCACUAAGUUUUGUUUGGAUCUGACUGAAGUAGAGACUCGUCUCCAGUUGAAGUUCAGCUCAGGAGCUCCACCUCGAUGCUGUACAAACCUCUUGCACGUUCUCACCGUGUCUUCUUUCAUUUUGUGAUAGAGAUGGAGGAUCACAAGAAGGUUUGUCCUGGACAUGUCUUUGCCUGCAUUGGUGUUUCUAGCAUCUCUCCUGGUAGCACCGGUUGCUUUAUUAAGGAGCAGCUUUCAGCCCCCACAGAGAUCUCAACGGAAUAACAAACCACUUCUUGAGGGCGUCGCGCUGUAUUUCUGCCUCACGCGUUAGCAGAGUAGUGGUUCGUCCCACCCACCAAAAGAAGAAACCAGCUGUAAUCUGCACUAAGUAAAUUCUUUUUCUCUUCAUGUGAUGUUAUAUCUAGUUUCCAGCUAUCAGGAGUCCAGAAAGCACUUUAUAGUUAGAUGAGCUAAGAAGAUUUAAUAAAAACAUGUUUUUAGCAAGGUUGGGUUUAGUUUGACAUUUUUAACUGCUGAUACCAACACGGUUUAUUCUGGAUCUAAGCAUGAAGUAAACACAACUAUGAAACUGAAAGCCUUUCAUACCAGCCCAGCUUCCUGACUGUUCUCAGUAUUUGAUUCCUCAGAUACAUUUGAGUUUUUAUCAAGUAGUCAUUGAGGUCUGCUACCCAGAACUAGUAGAUAGCUAGCCAUGUGGUUACAGUGAUUGUCUUAAUCAAGCUAGUUCUAUUAGCCUUAUACCUCUUCCAGAUUAAAUACUGUGGCACUCAGUGUUCUUCUUUCACCAAACCUAUGCCUUAAUGGAAUCUGCAGCUGGUCACCAAACUACAAGGCUGUGACCGACACUCCUUGCUUCUUGUGGUUCAGUCUCAGAAGCUGUGAAGAACAUCUCCUCUGAGGCACGGCCGGUCCGCAGCCUUUUUGACUCGAGUCUGAUCCAUUGGAUUUCUGAUCAUUUUCCGUGUCGACAUCACCUCGCCGCCGCCACUCUGCUCUCGCCGAUUAUAGUCGUGGUAACAUAGCGCCCGACUUCCGUAGACGCCGCUUAACUUAGCCGUCGCACGUUGAGAGCUGCGUGGAGGCAACGGAUCCGCUCUGAACGUCUUUGGGUUGCAUCCCUUUGACUGCUAACACACCAUUGGCACGUAUUUAUAUUAAUGUUCUACUGUUGCAUCGUAAUGACGUUGUGAUGACAUCCUGACUAGGAAGAGGACUUGGCGUCCCAACCGGAGCUCCUGUUGGAAGAAGACAAUGAACAAGGAGGCAUCCUCAACUAGUCUCAGACUGACCAGAGUGAAGGGCUGUUAAUGGAUCUAACUAGCUAGCCAAACAUAUUAAGCUAACCGCUAGGCUUUGACUGAUGUUGGCUGGCGGAAAUGGCGGCGUGGGAAGAUAAUAAUUAGUCUGUACUACGGUUUGUAGUGCUAAGCGUGUAGUACUUGGGUAGUAUUACUCAGAUUGGUUGUGGCUAUCUCGCGUCAGCUAGCUAUGACACUAUGUGUAUUGAUCGAGUAACCGUUGCCUGGAUGCUAACAUCUGGGUUGUUUUCAAGCGUCAUAAGUUAAACACGGGAAGCUCAGGAUUUUGUCCAAAAAGUAUUUGGAGUUUCAUUUGUUCUUUUUGGCACAGCGGUAACUCUUUUAAAGAUGCUCGUAGUGGAGCCGUUAGGAUUUAACGAGCUGAGGUCCUUUCACAGCGGCAGCUUGUAUCAAAUAGAGCCUCCUCCGUCAGUCAGAUGUAUUUAAUGCUAAUGUAAUGGAAGUAAAGACGCUACGUUUUUCCAAAUAUAUGGAAUACAAAAUGCAUAACCAUGUAGAAGUACUAUCUGAAGUAGGACCUUUUGGUGCUCUGAGCCGCCACCUAUCCUUACCCACCAGUCUCCAGCUAAUGUUAGUUUCUGAUGUGAAUGAAGUAAAGCUACAUAGCUUUGUGUCAGAGCUACAUUUGUCCUGAAUAUAUCACACACAACCUAAAUUUCAUCUAAACUUAAUAAAAGAAUAUGGUAUUUUGUUUUGACCUAGCUUUACUAGGUCUUUCCAGCUGGUGAAAUUUUCAGGCCAACUUACUAGUAGUCUGUCAUCGCUAUGGUAAGUAAUUAUAUCCAUAAAAUGGUAUAGCACAUGAGUACUUUUACAUUUCUUUAGGGUUAGGGCUAUUCACCCUGUUCAGUGAAGCUAAUGUUAGCUCAAGGAGCUAAUGUUGAUAAGAUGGCAGCUGGGUCAGUAACAUCAUGACUCGGGUUGGGCCGUUGUCUCAGCUCAACAUGUUUUAGAUGCAUUAGAAUUAUUUUUUAAUGAUAACAGUGAUUCAUAAGUAUCGCUGUGUUCCACAAUUCUUAUCCAGUGUUUUGGGGGAAAUGUGUGUGUGUGUGUGUGUGUGUGUGUGUACACACUGCUCAAAACUCUCCAUUGGCAUCUGCUAUAGAACACCAGAAUCGGCACGUCCACCACUGGAGACCUGUGCUUUGUCCCACGAGCGGUUUGGUGGUGGGAGGCAUAUCCAGGAAGGGACACACAGACCUCUACAGGCUUCUGACUGCCAUCAGGCAUGCCCGCCAGCGAGCCAAAGAACGUUUGGAUCUGUGGCCACUCGCUGGUGUUCUGGGCCGAGUCGCGGGCCAAGUCUCCAGAGGUAGGUAUGCAGCUGGGCAUGGAUCCCAG